rnacentral:rRNA from 1 species
UACGUAGGGUGCGAGCGUUAAUCGGAAUUACUGGGCGUAAAGUGUGCGCAGGCGGCCAUGCAAGUCGAGUGUGAAAGCCCCGGGCUUAACUUGGGAAUUGCGCUCGAAACUACGUGGCUGGAGUGUGGCAGAGGAAGGUGGAAUUCCACGUGUAGCGGUGAAAUGCGUAGAUAUCGGGAGGAACAUCAGUGGCGAAGGCGGCUACCUGGCCCAAUACUGACACUCAGGUGCGACAGCGUGGGGAGCAAACAGG